GUUAUCGGACAGCUUAAGGUCACUGAGCCCCUUGAUGUCACGAAGCGUGUUGAAUAUUUCAGGGAGAUCCAGAAACCCUAUACUAAUACAGAAGCCAGCAAGAUGAAAUUGAGGCAAAAUUUUUUGAAGAGCGAGAUGCGCAUGAAGCGAAGUACCAGAAGCUUUAUGAACAGUAUACAAAGAGGUAUAACAUUGUAAAUGAAGUUGUGGAAGUUGAUGGAAUAAAUGCCAAACCAGCCAGUGAAAAUGCUGCUGAGGGGAAAUAUGCAGAUGCUAAAGAUAUAUCUAUAUAUGUACGAGAACUGGAUUUUGCAAAUAAUUACACAUGCAUGCAAAUAAUUACACAUGCAUGUAUAUAUGUAUGAGAACAGUGAGCAGUUCUCCACCGUUACUAUAAUCCGUACCCCUUCAACACCAACCAUUUUAGUUAUCACAAUGCCUGAUCAU